rnacentral:ribozyme from 15 species
UUUCAUCAUCGUCUUUCAAGAUAUUAUGAGUGCUUUUAAAAAAAAAAAAAAAAAAAAAAAAAACUUUCGUUGUGGUUGAUUUAA